CCAACAGGGAUUGCCCUAGUAACGGCGAGUGAAGCGGCAACAGCUCAAAUUUGAAAUCUGGCUCUUUCAGGGUCCGAGUUGUAAUUUGCAGAGGGCGCUUUGGCUUUGGCAGCGGUCCAAGUUCCUUGGAACAGGACGUCACAGAGGGUGAGAAUCCCGUACGUGGUCGCUAGCUAUUGCCGUGUAAAGCCCCUUCGACGAGUCGAGUUGUUUGGGAAUGCAGCUCUAAAUGGGAGGUAAAUUUCUUCUAAAGCUAAAUAUUGGCCAGAGACCGAUAGCGCACAAGUAGAGUGAUCGAAAGAUGAAAAGCACUUUGGAAAGAGAGUCAAACAGCACGUGAAAUUGUUGAAAGGGAAGCGCUUGCAGCCAGACUUGCUUGCAGUUGCUCAUCCGGGCUUUUGCCCGGUGCACUCUUCUGUAGGCAGGCCAGCAUCAGUUUGGGCGGUGGGAUAAAGGUCUCUGUCAUGUACCUCUCUUCGGGGAGGCCUUAUAGGGGAGACGACAUACCACCAGCCUAGACUGAGGUCCGCGCAUCUGCUAGGAUGCUGGCGUAAUGGCUGUAAGCGGCCCGUCUUGAAACACGGACCAAGGAGUCUAACAUCUAUGCGAGUGUUUGGGUGUCAAGCCCGAGCGCGUAAUGAAAGUGAACGGAGGUGGGAACCCGCAAGGGUGCACCAUCGACCGAUCCUGAAGUUUACGGAAGGAUUUGAGUAAGAGCAUGGCUGUUGGGACCCGAAAGAUGGUGAACUAUGCUUGAAUAGGGUGAAGCCAGAGGAAACUCUGGUGGAGGCUCGCAGCGGUUCUGACGUGCAAAUCGAUCGUCAAAUUUGGGCAUAGGGGCGAAAGACUAAUCGAACUAUCUAGUAGCUGGUU
rnacentral:rRNA from 1 species